AAUUAUUGUAUCAUUUAGGGGGGA
rnacentral:miRNA from 1 species